CUUCAGCAACCUAUUGGUGUUACUUACUGCUCAACCAGACCUAUGAUACCAUCCUUCCCUGGCGUCUUAAAGGUGGAGAAAUGGAGGCCCAGAGAUCAAGUGAUUUUCCAAGCCCCAGAGUCAGCUGGCAGCAAAGAAUCUUCUUGGGCCAUUACUCCCUCGGAGAGAAGCAAAUCCUUCAUAGGGAAUGCUGGAUGUGCCUGUGACAAACUAUCAACCCAAGAAAGAAGAAGAGAAGGUGAAACCAAGAGACCAGCCUCUAGGAAAGACUGGCAUCAUUCCUGUGCAGAGGUCCUGGGGAAGUUUAGCAUGCUGCUCGCAGGUAGAAAAGCUCAGAAAACAAAAUUUUAUAGGCAGGGAAUAACUGCAACAAGGGAAUUCUGACAAAGGUCUGGAGAAUACCAAGCAAGGACAGCUUAUUAUAAAGGGAAAGGGGAUGUAGAGAGUUUGUAGAAGAUACAGCCUUCAAUACAGCUGACCAGCUUAGAAGCUUAAACCAGGUAUACUCCUCAUUCGAGAUGAAUAAAGUGGAUGUUAUCAGUUAACCUAAGUCUACGGAGCACCAACCCCUCAUCAACUUGAAGUGAAUGUAAAAAAAAAAAAGAAUUUCUAGGCCUGCAAAUUUGGGACCCAGAUAUGUGAUCCAAAGGAGCUAAGACCCAGUCUACUUGUAAGGCUCUGCCUGAGCAACCAAAAGACUUCCUUUCUCAUGUCAGAUAUUUCUUGAGUUGCAACCAACUAGCAAUUUCACUGUAUAAGUAUAAACACCACAAGAAAAUAAUGAGUUCGUUUUCCCAGUGUUCUUAAACUGCACUGUUAUCUCAAAUUUGUGGAAAGUUAGAUGGAAGAAAAGAAAGGACUCUUUAUCAAGGAACUGGGUCACUUCUUAAGGGACCGAAGAUUAUCUCUUUCAAUUGCCAGGGAUGUUGGCCUCCAGAGUAGCCAGGGACCUCUUGAUGAAGGGAUCAAACUGCCACGAAGGCAGAUGUUGUUCCCGGGAUUCUUGGACCGGAGUUCAUCCUUCCUCACAACUAAUGACAUGCUUUUAUGUGGCUGGGGAUGUUCAGCAUAGUGAUGGAGCCACAGAACCACACAAUCAGAAGAGUCUGAAAACAGCGCAUCCCAAAUAUGUAGAUCAACAUGGGAUGUAUUUUAUUGAGUAUACUUAGCAGCUAUUAAAAACAUGCAUUUUUAACAAUAGUAUUAAUAUUUAUGGUAGGUCUCUUAUACAUUAAAAUGAUUAACUAAUGGCAUCUUACCUGUAACAACCUUAAUCGUUGUUCAUUGUUGAAUCUCUCCACUGCAGCCCAGAACCACCGAAUUACAAUAUGAUUGUCAUGAUAACCUAUCAAACCAAUCACGAAAGCCCAUAUUACUUUGAGUUUUCUAUCUUAAGUCACUAUGACACUGACCCGUCAACAAAAGACCCCCAGACAUACAUCAUCAUCUUAGAUUAAAGGUUAUUUACAAUUUAAGACCAAGGAAUAACACCGUAAAUAUGAUUGCAUGAGUGUCAAAAGUCAAACAAAACACUAAAUGAAACCAAGAAAUCUCUGUUUCCAUUUAGUGGUCACUAAAUGAAACUAGUGGAGAGAAGAACAACAAAUGAGUUAUUUUAACCGUAUCAUUUCUGAAAAAUAUAAAUGUGUUACUGAAAAUGCUUAACCCUUUGGAUCAUUCAUUGAAGAAAUAAUUUUCCAAUGCUACUAUGCCAAUCACUGUGCUAAGUUCGGGGGUACAAUAGCAAAGAAAACAGAUUUUCACAGAAACAAAUAAUUAUACAAAAAAAUAUGUAACUACUAACUAUUUUAAAGCUACAUGUAAUGUUCACAUUUUGAAAUCAAAUUACUUUUUUGCUAAUAAAAUGGGAAAAUAAUUUUAUUACUUUAAUUUUUUCAACUAAGUCCCAAAUAAUCAUCAACCUAAACAUUACUCUUUUUUUUUUUUUUUUUUUGCUUUUUUAGGGCUGCACCCGAGGCAUAUGAAAGUUCCCAGGCGAGGGGUUGAAUCAGAGCUGUAGGUGCCGGCCACAGCCACAGCCACACGGGAUCUGAGCCGUGUCUGUGACCUACACCACAGCUCACGGCAACACCGGAUCCUUAACCCACUGAGCAAGGCCCGGGAUUGAACCCGAAUCCUUGUGGAUACUAGUUGGAUUUGUUUCAGCUGCGCCACAACGGGAACUCCUUAAACAUUACUUUAUCCUAUACUUAAUAGAGUUUAAUAAAAUGUCAGAAGUAUCAUCCCACACAGGUGGAUUACGGCAGUAGCUGUGGUUCCAAAACCCUCAAUGGAGAAAAGUUCAGAGAAAAGGCUGACAAAGUCUAAGGUGCAACUAGUGAUUUAAACCAAUUAACAGACAUAGUCAAUGUGCAUAAAGUUACUCUGAGUCAGCAGCACUGAGUCCAAAACAGAAGGUGGAUAGAGACCAUUUUAAUUUGAAUUUUUCCUCACUCGUUUUGAUGGUUGCAGGGUUUGUGGGGAGUCUUGCCUUACUGUUUACCAUUUGAUCAGUGAUACCCCUUGGAGGAGAAAGGGAUCCAAGUGAAGGGUAAAUACAACUAGACUGGACAUGGAAGUGCAUAGGUUCCUUAUCCUGCCUCUGGCAAAGACUAGCUAUUUGGUGCUGAGCAAAUAGGUUUCUCGUCUAUAAAAUAAGUGCAUAGGCUCUGUAUAGCUUUAAAGCUUUCUGACCCUUUGAAUAGGCCCUUUUAUGCCUCUCCUUACUGUUUGUGCCAAACCAUUUGGAGAAGGAAAAGCAGUGAAAGUACCUCAUCAUGCUCUCUACAAACAGCUGCCUUGUGAACAUAUGGCAAAUGGCAGCAAAGCUGCCCCUUCAUCCAGUGCCAACUAGUGGGUUAGCAAGCACGGCAGCUGGGCAUCUUGCCUUUCCUGCCCCUUCCCCCAGCUCCUCCCAAGGAUUUCAUUUGAUAAGAUAAAUGAUAACCAUAGCAAGAGGUACCUGAUUAGUCAUAUACAGUGAACAAAAGUGUAUACUCUGUAAAUACAAAAAUGCCUUAUUUCAUUAAUGACAUAGCUAUUAGAAUCUCCUGAGAAGGAAGAAAAUGACUUAAUAAUAUUUAUGGUAAGAUAUAAGUUAUGUAGCAUGUUGGAGAAGUUGUGUUCUAGUUAAUGAAAACAUUAUAAGUUAUAAGAUCCAAGGUCAUAUGUGGAUUAUACAUGGGGCCAACCGGAAAAGACUUAUUACAGUAAAUGGACUUCAGCAUUUGAAAUGGAAAUAGCAGCAAUGGAAACUGCAAUUUAAUAUCGCCUUCCAGAGAAAAUGGGCAUGCAAGGCCAGUCCAGUAUCAGUGAUGGGGUGGAAAAGCCAGGCACAGACCAAAAGAAAAGCAAUUAAGCCAAUGUCAAGGUAUUUUUUUACUCCAAACUAAUUUUUUUUUAAACCCCAGUUUCAAUUUACAGAUAACUGCUCAGCUCUCAUUUUAUCCUGCUAAGCAAUUAAUUCAGUGACUUAAAGUUUGUGUUCUUCAUUCUCCAAGUUCAAAACCACCGCUAACCUCUUACAUUCUGAGUUAAACAAAAACAAAAUUGCCGUUUGUCAUGACUUUCUGAAGACUCUAUAACAUUACAAUAAAUUUCAGAAAACGUAUUCUUUGCUUAAGAUUAAUGGAUAAAAUGAGAACUCUGGGUUAACAUCAGGUCCCUUUCAAAGUGCAUUGAUUCAGCAAUCAAAUUUCAGCGGCUUUGAUGCCAAAUACUACUCAAAAAUCUGUACUGAUCUACAGAAAUGCCAGUUCUAAAGCUUCCCAUUUGGGGAUGAGUUGGAUGGUGCAGUUAGUUUUUAGCUAAUGUUAUAGCAGUUUCCCUUUCAGCUGAACUAAGCGCUUGAAUUUUAGAAGGGCUUAUCCAAUAAACUUGAAAUUUGAGAACCAUAUAUUACCCAUUCAGGUGUUUCAACUGUGAAUUACAACUAGCAAGUAGUUUAAGUGAAAUGCAGAAAAACUGCGUUUGCUCAUUAAGAAGCUCAGAGGGUGUGUCCUUCCAGCUUUAGAAUGAAGGUGGAAUUUGACCAGCUGGAUAUGAGCUCCCUGGCGCUUCGCUAAUAACACCAUAAAGCAAUUAAUUAGUGUUCCUAUGGUCACAUUUCUUCACCAACAAUUAAGACUUAUGACAUCCUGAGAUGAUGUGUAAACAGCCCUCCUUCCACUUGACAGAUGCAGUACCUAGGGAAAGAAGGGAAUGUGUCUUGCCCAAGGUCUCAAAGGAGACCGCCUCAAACCUAUGAUUAGAGUUCAAGUGCCUUUGCCUGUCUUGGAUCCAGACCCACCUGCUGAACUAUUUGCCUCCCUUUAACCUGAAACUUAAAAUCCAGCUGAAUAAAUGAAAUUUCACCUCCUC
rnacentral:lncRNA from 9 species